rnacentral:rRNA from 1 species
UACGGAGGGUGCAAGCGUUGUUCGGAAUCAUUGGGCGUAAAGCGCGUGUAGGCGGCUUGGUAAGUCGGGUGUGAAAUCCCGAGGCCCAACCCCGGAACUGCAUUCGAAACUGCCUCGCUAGAGUCCCGGAGAGGAAGGCGGAAUUCCCGGUGUAGAGGUGAAAUUCGUAGAUAUCGGGAGGAACACCAGCGGCGAAGGCGGCCUUCUGGACGGUGACUGACGCUGAGACGCGAAAGCGUGGGGAGCAAACAGG